rnacentral:rRNA from 1 species
GAUGAACGCUGGCGGCGUGCCUAAUACAUGCAAGUCGAGCGAACCACUUCGGUGGUGAGCGGCGAACGGGUGAGUAACACGUAGGUUAUCUGCCCAUCAGACGGGGACAACGAUUGGAAACGAUCGCUAAUACCGGAUAGGACGAAAGUUUAAAGGUGCUUCGGCACCACUGAUGGAUGAGCCUGCGGCGCAUUAGCUAGUUGGUAGGGUAAAGGCCUACCAAGGCGACGAUGCGUAGCCGACCUGAGAGGGUGAACGGCCACACUGGGACUGAGACACGGCCCAGACUCCUACGGGAGGCAGCAGUAGGGAAUCUUCGGCAAUGGGCGAAAGCCUGACCGAGCAACGCCGCGUGAAUGAUGAAGGCC